UACGUAGGGCGCAAGCGUUAUCCGGAAUUAUUGGGCGUAAAGAGCUCGUAGGCGGUUUGUCGCGUCUGCCGUGAAAGUCCGGGGCUCAACUCCGGAUCUGCGGUGGGUACGGGCAGACUAGAGUGAUGUAGGGGAGACUGGAAUUCCUGGUGUAGCGGUGAAAUGCGCAGAUAUCAGGAGGAACACCGAUGGCGAAGGCAGGUCUCUGGGCAUUAACUGACGCUGAGGAGCGAAAGUGUGGGAGCGAACAGG
rnacentral:rRNA from 1 species